rnacentral:rRNA from 1 species
UCCUCCCUCUGGCGGCGUGCUUAACACAUGCAAGUCGAACGGUGAAGCGCCUUCCUUUUUGGUGGGUGUGGAUGAGUGGCGAACGGGUGAGUAACACGUGAGUAACCUGCCCCCUUCUUCUGGAUAACCGCAUGAAAGUGUGGCUAAUACGGGAUAUUCUGGGUCUGUCGCAUGAUGGGUCUGGGAAAGAUAUUGUUUCGGUGGGGGAUGGGCUCGCGGCCUAUCAGCUUGUUGGUGGGGUGAUGGCCUACCAAGGCGGUGACGGGUAGCCGGCCUGAGAGGGUGGACGGUCACACUGGGACUGAGACACGGCCCAGACUCCUACGGGAGGCAGCAGUGGGGAAUAUUGCACAAUGGGCGCAAGCCUGAUGCAGCGACGCCGCGUGAGGGAUGGAGGCCUUCGGGUUGUGAACCUCUUUCGCCAGUGAAGCAGGCCUGCCUCGUUUGUGGGUGGGUUGACGGUAGCUGGAUAAGAAGCGCCGGCUAACUACGUG